rnacentral:rRNA from 1 species
AACGGAGGAGCACGAAGGUUAGCUAAUCCUGGUCGGACAUCAGGAGGUUAGUGCAAUGGCAUAAGCUAGCUUGACUGCGAGCGUGACGGCGCGAGCAGGUGCGAAAGCAGGUCAUAGUGAUCCGGUGGUUCUGAAUGGAAGGGCCAUCGCUCAACGGAUAAAAGGUACUCCGGGGAUAACAGGCUGAUACCGCCCAAGAGUUCAUAUCGACGGCGGUGUUUGGCACCUCGAUGUCGGCUCAUCACAUCCUGGGGCUGAAGUAGGUCCCAAGGGUAUGGCUGUUCGCCAUUUAAAGUGGUACGCGAGCUGGGUUUAGAACGUCGUGAGACAGUUCGGUCCCUAUCUGCCGUGGGCGCUGGAGAAUUGAGGGGGGCUGCUCCUAGUACGAGAGGACCGGAGUGGACGCAUCACUGGUGUU